UCAGAACUCCAUUCCAAAAGACGAAAUGCCAAAGCAUUUGAAAAAAUCUCCAAGGCUAUGGUAGACAGAGGCCGCAACAGAGACUCAACACAGUGCUCCAUGACAAGCAUAACAGAAAGCCAAUGAAUCAAAUGGAUGCUCACAGAGGAGGGAGGGAGGGGGGGGACUGAGGACUCUAGCUAUCCACAG